rnacentral:rRNA from 1 species
AGCAGCCGCGGUAAUUCCAGCUCCAAUAGCGUAUAUUAAAGUUGCUGCAGUUAAAAAGCUCGUAGUUGAAUUUCGGGACCAUCAUGUUGGUCGUGCCUCGGUACGUACUGGCAUUGUUGGUUUCUCCCUUCUGACGAACCAUGAUGUCAUUUAUUUGGUGUUGUGGGAAAUCAGGACUGUUACUUUAGAAAAAUUAGAGUGUUUAAAGCAAGCUAACGCUUGAAUACAUUAGCAUGGAAUAAUGAAAUAGGACGUUCGAUCCUAUUUUGUUGGUUUCUAGGAUUGACGUAAUGAUUAAUAGGGAUAGUUGGGGGCAUUAGUAUUCAAUUGUCAGAGGUGAAAUUCUUGGAUUUAUUGACGACUAACUACUGCGAAAGCAUUUGCCAAGGAUGUUUUCAUUAAUCAAGAACGAAAGUUAGGGGAUCGAAGACGAUCAGAUACCGUCGUAGUNUUAACCCAUAAACCUAUGCCGACUAGGGAUCGGAUGAUGUAAUUUUUUAAAUGACUCAUUCGGCGUACC